GAAUGAAGUGAUGAUCAAUAGAUUCCCUAUUGGUUUGAUUGGCCAGAAUGAUGGCGAAAUUCGUAUUAGUCUAUCUGAUCAUUC